GAGUAAUGUCUGGGAAACUGCCUGAUGGAGGGGGAUAACUACUGGAAACGGUGGCUAAUACCGCAUAACGUCGCAAGACCAAAGAGGGGGACCUUCGGGCCUCUUGCCAUCAGAUGUGCCCAGAUGGGAUUAGCUUGUUGGUGAGGUAACGGCUCACCAAGGCGACGAUCCCUAGCUGGUCUGAGAGGAUGACCAGCCACACUGGAACUGAGACACGGUCCAGACUCCUACGGGAGGCAGCAGUGGGGAAUAUUGCACAAUGGGCGCAAGCCUGAUGCAGCCAUGCCGCGUGUAUGAAGAAGGCCUUCGGGUUGUAAAGUACUUUCAGCGGGGAGGAAGGUGUUGUGGUUAAUAACCGCAGCAAUUGACGUUACCCGCAGAAGAAGCACCGGCUAACUCCGUGCCAGCAGCCGCGGUAAUACGGAGGGUGCAAGCGUUAAUCGGAAUUACUGGGCGUAAAGCGCACGCAGGCGGUCUGUCAAGUCGGAUGUGAAAUCCCCGGGCUCAACCUGGGAACUGCAUUCGAAACUGGCAGGCUUGAGUCUUGUAGAGGGGGGUAGAAUUCCAGGUGUAGCGGUGAAAUGCGUAGAGAUCUGGAGGAAUACCGGUGGCGAAGGCGGCCCCCUGGACAAAGACUGACGCUCAGGUGCGAAAGCGUGGGGAGCAAACAGGAUUAGAUACCCUGGUAGUCCACGCCGUAAACGAUGUCUACUUGGAGGUUGUGCCCUUGAGGCGUGGCUUCCGGAGCUAACGCGUUAAGUAGACCGCCUGGGGAGUACGGCCGCAAGGUUAAAACUCAAAUGAAUUGACGGGGGCCCGCACAAGCGGUGGAGCAUGUGGUUUAAUUCGAUGCAACGCGAAGAACCUUACCUGGUCUUGACAUCCACAGAACUUUCCAGAGAUGGAUUGGUGCCUUCGGGAACUGUGAGACAGGUGCUGCAUGGCUGUCGUCAGCUCGUGUUGUGAAAUGUUGGGUUAAGUCCCGCAACGAGCGCAACCCUUAUCCUUUGUUGCCAGCGGUCCGGCCGGGAACUCAAAGGAGACUGCCAGUGAUAAACUGGAGGAAGGUGGGGAUGACGUCAAGUCAUCAUGGCCCUUACGACCAGGGCUACACACGUGCUACAAUGGCGCAUACAAAGAGAAGCGACCUCGCGAGAGCAAGCGGACCUCAUAAAGUGCGUCGUAGUCCGGAUUGGAGUCUGCAACUCGACUCCAUGAAGUCGGAAUCGCUAGUAAUCGUGGAUCAGAAUGCCACGGUGAAUACGUUCCCGGGCCUUGUACACACCGCCCGUCACACCAUGGGAGUGGGUUGCAAAAGAAGUAGGUAGCUUAACCUUCGGGAGGGCGCUUACCACUUUGUGAUUCAUGACUGGGGUGAAGUCGUAACAAGGUAACCGUAGGGGAACCUGCGGUUGGAUCACCUCCUUACCUUAAAGAA
rnacentral:rRNA from 4 species